CAGCUGCAGCAUGGCGUCAGGGGCGGCUGAGGCGGUGGCAACGGUGGUGGAGGUCGGCUCGGCCCAGCAGUUUGAGGAGCAUCUGCGCCUCAAAGCCAAGUCCCUCCUUGUGGUCCAUUUCUGGGCGCCAUGGGCUCCACAGUGUGUGCAAAUGAAUGAUGUAAUGGCCGAGUUGGCUAAGGAACACCCUCAAGUUUCAUUUGUGAAGUUGGAAGCUGAAGCAGUUCCAGAAGUAUCUGAAAAAUAUGAAAUUAGUUCUGUUCCCACCUUUCUGUUUUUCAAGAAUUCUCAGAAAAUCGACCGAUUAGAUGGAGCACAUGCCCCAGAGUUGACCAAAAAAGUUCAACGACAUGCUUCUAGCAGCUCCUUCCCACCCAGUGCUAAUGAGUGUAUUAAAGAAGAUCUUAACCUUCGCCUGAAGAAGUUAAUAAAUGCUGCCCCGUGCAUGUUGUUCAUGAAAGGAACUCCUGAAGAACCACGCUGUGGUUUCAGCAAGCAGAUGGUGGAAAUUCUCCAUAAGCAUAAUAUUCAGUUUAGCAGUUUUGAUAUCUUCUCAGAUGAAGAAGUUUGGCAGGGGCUAAAAACCUAUUCCAAUUGGCCCACCUAUCCUCAGCUUUAUGUUUCCGGGGAGCUUAUAGGAGGACUUGACAUAAUUAAGGAGCUAGAAGCAUCUCAAGAACUAGAUACAAUUUGUCCCAAAGCUCCCAAAUUAGAAGAAAGGCUCAAAGUGCUGACAAAUAAAGCUUCUGUGAUGCUCUUUAUGAAAGGAAACAAACAGGAGGCAAAAUGUGGAUUUAGCAAACAAAUUCUGGAAAUACUGAAUAGUACCAGUGUUGAAUUUGAAACAUUUGAUAUAUUGGAAGAUGAAGAAGUUCGGCAAGGACUGAAAGUGUACUCCAACUGG